AAAACCUUAAACAAGGAGUCGGGCAAGUUGUGUUUGCUCCUCAAUAGUUAUUUUAGCUCAGACAUAAAACUGUGAAAACCUAGAAAGAGAUUAAACAUGUCUCUGUUUGUUCUGCAGUAAUUUUCUAGCAUCAUAAGUCCUCUUCUCAUAUCAGUGCAGUGAGCUGGUUUGAAUCUAAACUCAGAAUGGAUUAGCUGGGCUCACGUUUUAUAUUUGAACAUUUUUCAUUUUGUAUUGUAAUUUUUAGAUUUAAUUGGGAUCCUACUUGUGUUUUUAUUCUUUAAUUCAUGUUUCUAUAAUCCGCAUAUUUUUGUUAUACAUUGGCCCAUACUUGAUUUUACUUUUUUUUUUUUUUUUUUAAAGGCACAUCAACAUAUGAAACAAAUAAAGCUAAAUUGACUGGACAUGUCACAGGUCAUACCCCACAGAGACAAAUUGGGAAAGUGAAACCAUCAAGUUUGUUCUUUGUUUGGUCUUAUUUGGCUGUAGACUCCUCACCAGGAAAAUAAUGUAAGCUAAUAAAACUCUGUUGCUCAAUUAUGGUUUUAGCAUUUGAGUCGGAUAGACAUUCUCAUAAACUUUUACCAGACUUUACAAAAGUUGAACUCUUUGAUGGUCUAAAGAAGAGUUCAAGGUAAAAUGCAUCCCAGAUGCAGCAUUUUCUGCCAUGAUGCACGAGUGUGUUUUGGUUUUCUUUUGUGUUUGUAUUCUGAUCAUUUCUGGGUUUGUUAUUGUUAGUAAGCUCGUGUCACAUUCAGUUUGUUCCCUGUUGUUCAUUGUUGUGUUUCCAUAUCAGUUCGUUCAUUGCGUUGAGUGUUGAGUGCAUUGUUGUUAGUAUUAGGCUUUUCCUUUUUGAUUUGUAGAGCCUUUUGUGUCAUGUUUUGCACCAUCUGUGUUAACUGGUCUCCUUCCAUCAGUCUCUUUGUUUGUCCUCUUCCACAUCUGUUCAGUAUUCUCUCCUGAUUAUGCUCACCUGGUCUCAAUAGAUGGUCAUUUUCCACUCUUUGCUCAGUAUUUAAGCUCCUCGAUUUUCAUUGUUCCCUGCUGAUUUCUUCCUGCCUGGUUCUGCAUCCUGUUCCUCUUGUGCUUUACUCACUCUCUUGGGCCUGGCGUUCGCAAGAGCUUUAGAGGUUGCCACUGGAAUUCUCUUCCACUCCUCCAUCACGAUAUCACAGAGCUGGUGGAUGUUAGAGACCCUGUGCUCCUCCACUUUCUGUUUGAGGAUGCCACACAGAAUUGCAGCCUGUGCUUCUGAGUCACAUCAUACUUGUGCCUGCUGGAAAACAGGAAGUCAUUGAUACCUAUUAGAGGCUCCUAGACAUUCUUUUAAAAUGUGAGAAUAAGAAACAAAAUUUUAAAACUGCUUCUUUUAAAUUCAUUCCAUUGGAAAUGUAACGGAUACCAAUGUUUGUGGUUGAUGCAGUAUUGCAUGUAGUAUUUUUAAUUAAAUAUUCUCAUCCUCUCUCAGGAGACUAUCUCA